UACAGAGGUCCCAAGCGUUGUUCGGAUUCACUGGGCGUAAAGGGUGCGCAGGUGGGUUGGCAAGUUCGAUGUGAAAGCCCCGGGCUUAACCCGGGAAUGGCAUUGGAAACUGCUGAUCUGGAGGAUCGGAGGGGGGACUGGAAUUCUCGGUGUAGCAGUGAAAUGCGUAGAUAUCAAGAGGAACACCAGUGGCGAAGGCGAGUCCCUGGACGAUACCUGACACUGAGGCACGAAAGCCAAGGGAGCAAACAGG
rnacentral:rRNA from 1 species